AGUGAACGCUGGCGGCGUGCCUAAUACAUGCAAGUCGAACGAGUGGCGCACGGGUGAGUAAUGUCUGGGAAACUGCCUGAUGGAGGGGGAUAACUACUGGAAACGGUAGCUAAUACCGCCUACCAUCAGUUGUGUCCAGAGGGGAUUAGUUAGUUGGUGGGGUAAUGGCUCACCCAGGCGACGAUCCCUAGCUGGUCUGAGAGGAUGACCAGCCACACGGGAACUGAGACACGGUCCAGACUCCUACGGGAGGCAGCAGUGGGGAAUAUUGCACAAUGGGCGCAAGCCUGAUGCAGCCAUGCCGCGUGUGUGAAGAAGGCCUUCGGGUUGUAAAGCACUUUCAGCGAGGAGGCGUUACUCGCAGAAGAAGCACCGGCUAACUCCGUGCCAGCAGCCGCGGUAAUUC
rnacentral:rRNA from 1 species